rnacentral:rRNA from 1 species
UACGGGGGGGGCAAGCGUUGUUCGGAUUUACUGGGCGUAAAGGGCGCGUAGGCGGUCAGCACAAGUCAGUUGUGAAAUCUCCGGGCUUAACUCGGAAAGGUCAACUGAUACUGUGCGACUAGAGUGCAGAAGGGGCAACUGGAAUUCUCGGUGUAGCGGUGAAAUGCGUAGAUAUCGGGAAGAACACCCGUGGCGAAGGCGGUUCUCUGGGACGGUACUGACGCUGAGACGCGAAAGCGUGGGGAGCGAACAGG